rnacentral:rRNA from 1 species
AGAUUGAACGCUGGCGGCAUGCUUUACACAUGCAAGUCGAACGGCAGCGCGGGGCAACCUGGCGGCGAGUGGCGAACGGGUGAGUAAUAUAUCGGAACGUACCCAAGAGUGGGGGAUAACGUAGCGAAAGUUACGCUAAUACCGCAUACGAUCUAAGGAUGAAAGCAGGGGGACCGCAAGGCCUUGUGCUCCUGGAGCGGCCGAUAUCUGAUUAGCUAGUUGGUAGGGUAAAGGCCUACCAAGGCUACGAUCAGUAGCUGGUCUGAGAGGACGACCAGCCACACUGGAACUGAGACACGGUCCAGACUCCUACGGGAGGCAGCAGUGGGGAAUUUUGGACAAUGGGCGCAAGCCUGAUCCAGCAAUGCCGCGUGAGUGAAGAAGGCCUUGGUGUAAAGCUCUUUGUCAGGAGAAAGGUGAGGCUAAUACCUUCACUAAUGACGGUACCUGAAGAAUAAGACACCGGCUAACUACGUAGCCAGCAGCCGCGGUUAACG